GACGAACGCUGGCGGCGUGCUUAACACAUGCAAGUCGAACGGAAAGGCCUCUUUCGGGGGGUACUCGAGUGGCGAACGGGUGAGUAACACGUGAGUAACCUGCCCUUGACUUUGGGAUAACUUCAGGAAACUGGGGCUAAUACCGGAUAGGAGCUCCUGCUGCAUGGUGGGGGUUGGAAAGUUUCGGCGGUUGGGGAUGGACUCGCGGCUUAUCAGCUUGUUGGUGGGGUAGUGGCUUACCAAGGCUUUGACGGGUAGCCGGCCUGAGAGGGUGACCGGCCACAGUGGGACUGAGAGACGGCCCAGACUCCUACGGGAGGCAGCAGUGGGGAAUAUUGCACAAUGGGUGGAAGCCUGAUGCAGCAACGCCGUGUGCGGGAUGACGGCCUUCGGGUUGGAAACCGCUUUCGCUCAUGACGAAGCUUUGUGUGACGGUAGUGGGUAAAGAAGCACCGGCUAACUACGUG
rnacentral:rRNA from 1 species